rnacentral:rRNA from 1 species
AACUUCUGCUAAUCCCGGAUGAGCCCUAGGGUAAAAGAUAAAUUGCCUGGAGAUGAGCUCGCGUCUGAUUAGCUAGUUGGUGGGGUAAAAGCGUACCAAGGCAACGAUCAGUAGCUGGUCUGAGAGGAUGAGCAGCCACACUGGGACUGAGACACGGCCCAGACUCCUACGGGAGGCAGCAGUGGGGAAUUUUCCGCAAUGGGCGAAAGCCUGACGGAGCAAUACCGCGUGAGGGAGGAAGGCCUUUGGGUUGUAAACCUCUUUUCUCAGGGAAGAAGAUCUGACGGUACCUGAGGAAUAAGCAUCGGCUAACUCCGUGCCAGCAGCCGCGGUAAUACGGAGGAUGCAAGCGUUAUCCGGAAUUAUUGGGCGUAAAGCGUCCGCAGGUGGUCUUUCAAGUCUGCUGUCAAAGACCAGAGCUUAACUCUGGGCAGGCGGUGGAAACUGAGAGACUAGAGUUCGGUAGGGGUAGCGGGAAUUCCCAGUGUAGCGGUGAAAUGCGUAGAUAUUGGGAAGAACAUCAGUGGCGAAGGCACGCUACUGGACCGAAACUGACACUCAGGGACGAAAGCUAGGGUAGCG